UUUUUAAGAAAACUACAAAAGCACAUUCACAAUCCCGCGCCAAAGGAAACAACGUUCUCUUUCCUCAACCACUGACAUAAGAUCGGAGAGGCGUUAAGUAGCAACCAGAGCAGGAAGAAGAUGUCAAAGAGUCAUUUCUUCAAACACCUUUCCUACACUCUCUCUCGAGGCUCAUUCAUUGUUUCUACAGUCUCAAAUUUGAAACCCAUAUGCCGAAAUGUAUCAAAACCCAAUUCUUUACUCUUCGCCAACAAUAUUCCCAUAUCUUCUUUUUGCGCUUAUGUUCCUUUUUGCUCUUCACAUCAUACUGAUUAUUCUUCCACAGCUACUCAUACUCAUUCUUCUGCUUCUUCUUCUCCUUCUUCUUCUGCUUACCUUUCCGUUCGCAUUCGCUGUCCUAAUAAAGAUGUUGCUGAUAUGCUUUCAGAAGCACUUUUAUGCUUUGGUGCAAGUUCUGUUAGUACUGAUGAACAAGAUGACUCUGACAGCUCUAAUGAGAUCUGCAUGGACUCCAUAUUUCCUGAAUGUCAAGAUGUGGAUGCAUGCCUUUCUCAAGCUGCUGAUUCCGUAGGGUUAAAAAAGAUACCAAAGUAUGAGGUUAAAAUGGGAGAGCAAUAUGACUGGGUUCGGAAAACUCAGGAAUCAUUUCUUCCUGUUGAAGUUGCUGAAGGACUUUGGAUUGUGCCCGAGUGGAGAUCAGCCCCAGACGUUAGAGCAACAAAUAUAAUUCUGAAUCCUGGACUAGCGUUUGGAACCGGGGAGCACCCUACUACAAAGUUGUGUCUAUUGCUGCUGCGAGAAUUGAUAAAAGGAGGAGAACUUUUCUUGGACUAUGGCACAGGUUCUGGCCUUCUUGCAAUCGCAGCACUUAAGUUCGGUGCUGCAAUGGCAGUUGGACUUGAUGUAGAUCCCCAAGCUAUCAAAUCUGCACGUCACAAUGCUGAUCUAAAUAAUAUAGGACCUGAGACGAUGGAAUUACUCCUAGUUCCGAGCAAAACAUGCUCUCCAUUGAUGGAUGAAAGGACAAAUGAAGCUUUGAAGGAUGGCCCUUCUGAAAAGGCACUUGUCUCUGAAUCAGAGAAAUACGAUGUGGUCAUUGCUAAUAUCCUAUUGAAUCCACUCUUGGACUUGGCAGAUCAUAUUGUUUCUUAUGCUAAACCUGGGGCAAUUGUUGCUGUGUCUGGUAUUAUAUCUGAGCAGGCAGGAGAUGAAGCAGGCUGCAAAGACUUCGAUUUUGUAGGUUAAUGCUCAUUCCUUAAACUGAAAUUAAGCUAACAGAGAAAUGGAAGCCGGUGGCCUACUCUUCUGUGUCUUCACUUCGGAUCAAAACAGUCUAAAAUCUGUAUGGAAUAGUUCAAAUCGGUAGUCGCUAGCCACAGUCGUUUCCAGAUACAUGAGACCCUUGAUGAAAUGUAUCAUAUAUCAUGGACCGAUAUUCAAUGCUCUUGGAAGACAUAUCAGUACAAGAGAUGGAUGAUUGGGCCUGUGUAAUUGGAAGAAAGAAAAAUAAUAUUGAUGGGAGGUGAAGGAGACUGUAAUAUACUACCAGAACUAUGAGCAGAAGCACCAAAUGCACAACUAAGAACUUGGUCUCAAGCAACAAUGUCCACUUUUUCCAAGCAUAUGAUCCCAAACAGCAUCUGAAAGCCAAGCUGACAUUUACUUCCAACAUGGAAUAACUGUGGUUUAUCCAACUUGAGAAAAGGCUGUAAUUUGUCAAAUUGACACUUCUCACUUUUAUGAUUUUUCUUUUUUCUGGCCGACAGUAGUAGCAUUUUGUAUGAAAAAUGAAACAAAUACAAGCGGAAUUCAUUUUAUUUAUUUAUUAAAUGUCGUGAUGGGUAGGUGUAUCACA